GGCUGCUGCUCUAUCUUUCCAUCUGUCGAAGAAUGUGACCAGGUAAAGCCGGAAUAACGGGAGAGGAAAGUCCCCGUUUGAUCUGUGUGGAUUAAAAAGUAGACUCCUUCUCUUUUGGGAAGCAUUCUCCACUGCUCCCACAUGUAAGACGGACAGUUAGAAGCAAGUUGUAUGACAGUGGGACUUUCCAGAUGGCCAGGUUGUGGAUGGGCAUGAUUUUGCUCUUUGUCGCAGGGAUUUUGCCAUUCAGGGCCUCAUCAGUCUUUGUUCCAGGGUCGGAAUUGGAUUGUGGGCCCAAUAAUACAGUAGAGGCUGCAGCUGGUCAUAACCUGACUCUACACUGUUCUAUAAAUUUGUCAGCAGUCAAAAAGAAAUGUGACAUUGAACAUUACAUGUGGAGAGUAAAAUCAACUGGCAAAACAAUUUGCGAACAGAAGAACGGCAUCAAAGAAGACACACGGAACACAACAGAAAAGCAAACAUACACUUGCGGAUGGGACAAAACUAUGCAAAUGUUGUAUCUCGACAUCUCAAGAUUGGAGGAAGUUAAAGAGGAAAUCUACAAAAUUGCAGUACAAUCAUCAGACUGUGGUCCUAUUUAUUCUGAGGUCACAGUGUUGGUUAUAAAUCCAGACAAAGUGAGAGGUCAGGACAAAGCUAGUCCAGUGACAUCCCUGCACCUGGUUGCCAUUAUUGGUGCCCUCGCUUUUGUGGGAGGUUUGGCAUUCUUGGUUACGACACAGAGAGGCAGAAAAUUCAUGAGCCGUGUGUGGCACAUGAUUGUCGGCCAAACCAACACCGAAGCCGAACCUCGCAGCGAGGCUUCAGAACCCUUAAGAAAUGUGUGAUUUUGUGUUUGUGUAUGUACAUGUGUGUGUAUAAAUGUACAGAUCUGUUGUUCUCAUCAAUGAGCUCUACACUGCCACUGAGCAGGCAGCUUCAUGCAUCUGAAACACACAAUGCCCUAAUAAUGUCACAGCUCCUUUCGCCUUUCCGGCCACCGAGUUAAAACUGGCUUUUAACGUAAAAUGUUACAGACCUUUUUGUUGUUGGUUUGGUUUUUUUUUUAUUUUUUGGUUUGGUUAACCAUGCAGCUAAGUUCUUUGGGUUCUCAGAGGUUUUAUACAUACCUAUUUAUGUAAGCACCAGUUGAUCUGGUGCAAUUUAAUUUCUAUGCAGAACCUGUAUUAUUUUUGUACUUUUUAACACAAAAAGCAUGCAAAAGUAAAUGUUGUAUUGUUAACACUAUAUUAUGAAAGGAAAUCCAAGCUUGUAAAAUUAUGAUUAACACUAUGAAAGCCAUAGAGACCAUGGGUGCUCCUUUAUUUUGAUUU